CGUCUCCUGCGGUGUUCGAUACGGACCUGGUUUCCUUUCGACCCUAAUUACUAACCUCGGGGUCGUCGUCUGUCGGCAGCAUUUGAGCAGUACCACUACGUGUGGAAAGCCUGUUGCUGCCACGGCUGACCCCCCUUGUUGCUCUGGUUCGAGAGCGACGGUCUGUAACGGCACAGGCGGGAGACGC
rnacentral:other from 1 species